CAACCCUCAAGCACUGCUUGGUGUUGGGGCACCGCCUGUAAAAGGGCGGGCCCUGAAAUCUAGUGGCGAGCUCGCCAGGACCCCGAGCGUAGUAAUUAUAUUUCGUUCUGGAAGGCCCUGGCGGUGCCCUGCCGUUAAACCCCCCCAACUUCUGAAA
rnacentral:misc_RNA from 1 species